rnacentral:rRNA from 1 species
UGUUUCGGCUAGGGGGUCAUCCCGACUUACCAACCCGAUGCAAACUACGAAUACCGAAGAAUGUUAUCACGGGAGACACACGGCGGGUGCUAACGUCCGUCGUGAAGAGGGAAACAACCCAGACCGCCAGCUAAGGUCCCAAAGUCAUGGUUAAGUGGGAAACGAUGUGGGAAGGCACAGACAGCCAGGAUGUUGGCUUAGAAGCAGCCAUCAUUUAAAGAAAGCGUAAUAGCUCACUGGUCGAGUCGGCCUGCGCGGAAGAUGUAACGGGGCUAAACCAUGCACCGAAGCUGCGGCAGCGACACUAUGUGUUGUUGGGUAGGGGAGCGUUCUGUAAGCCUGCGAAGGUGUGCUGUGAGGCAUGCUGGAGGUAUCAGAAGUGCGAAUGCUGACAUAAGUAACGAUAAAGCGGGUGAAAAGCCCGCUCGCCGGAAGACCAAGGGUUCCUGUCCAACGUUAAUCGGGGCAGGGUGAGUCGACCCCUAAGGCGAGGCCGAAAGGCGUAGUCGAUGGGAAACAGGUUAAUAUUCCUGUACUUGGUGUUACUGCGAAGGGGGGACGGAGAAGGCUAUGUUAGCCGGGCGACGGUUGUCCCGGUUUAAGCAUGUAGGCUGGUUGUCCAGGCAAAUCCGGAUAAUCAAGGCUGAGGUGUGAUGACGAGGCACUACGGUGCUGAAGUAACAAAUGCCCUGCUUCCAGGAAAAGCCUCUAAGCAUCAGGUAACAUCAAAUCGUACCCCAAACCGACACAGGUGGUCAGGUAGAGAAUACCAAGGCGCUUGAGAGAACUCGGGUGAAGGAACUAGGCAAAAUGGUGCCGUAACUUCGGGAGAAGGCACGCUGGUGUGUAGGUGAAGCCCCUGCGG